rnacentral:tRNA from 1 species
GGGGGCAUAGCUCAGUGGUAGAGCAUUUGACUGCAGAUCAAAGGUCCCUGGGUGUCUCCU